AAAGGCCCUAAUUAAUAAAAGCGGCCCAAAGAGCGGUUAAAGAACACAACCAAUAAAAUUAAAACCUUGCUCAGCUGUCAUACGCAUAAGCAAAUAUUAAUUCAUAAACUAAGGUUAUUUUAAUGCCCUUGAACCCACCACAGUCAGGAAACAAACUGGGAUUAGAUACCCCACUAUGCCUAACUAUAAACUUUGGACCCCCCCCCGCCAGAGCACUACGAGCCACA
rnacentral:rRNA from 1 species